AGCCCCACCAUCCAUCCGCUCUGCCUCCAUCUCCCUCAUUCUGAAUGGACGCUUCCUUCCUUGGUGUAACUCUCCCAGCCAGCUGGAGGGCUGAAAGGCUGAACUAGAAAUCAAGAAAGCUGCCUAAUUGGAGGCUGCAGCAUGCCAGAGGGUGAAAUUAAGGGAGGAAGAGGAGCCUCCUUCGGUGGAGAUGCCAUGAAUAUGAGAGAGGUCCACAUUACCCCCUGAUAUUCUCUUGAGAAUGCCUUUAAUCCAGCUUGGAUGAUAUUCAGCACCAAGAACACACUGAACGAGAUUGCACAGAAGUUAAGUGUGAAGAAGGGGAGCACAUCUCUACACUGCUGAGAGCAAGAAAUAAAAUUUUCCCAAUUACAGGUUUCCACUGUAAUUUUCCUCUUUGAAGAAUAAUAAAACACUACACCCA